rnacentral:rRNA from 1 species
CGGCGGACGGGUGAGUAACGCGUGGGUAACCUGCCUUACACAGGGGGAUAACAGUUAGAAAUGACUGCUAAUACCGCAUAACCCGCUAGGGCCGCAUGGCCUGGACGGAAAAGAUUUUAUCGGUGUAAGAUGGACCCGCGUCUGAUUAGCUGGUUGGUGAGGUAACGGCUCACCAAGGCGACGAUCAGUAGCCGACCUGAGAGGGUGAUCGGCCACAUUGGGACUGAGACACGGCCCAAACUCCUACGGAAGGCAGCAG